CACAACCCCAAAAGCCGCCCCUCCCCGGACUUCUACACGUCUCUGUGAGUGGGUGAGAGCGCACCACCGAGGGGGCUGCCGCAGCGUUUCGUUGUCCAUCGGGACACACCCGCACACACAUAGACUUGUAAGCGGUGAAACACACACGCACGCUACUCCAUACAUAGAUUCACCGAAGGCGCCGUGUGCUGUGUUGCACUGCACCGCUCUCUGCGUCAUGCCCGUCGCAGCGGAUGCGUCUGUGUCGGACUCCAUCGCCUACUUGCAGGACUUCGUCAAUCAGUCCGGCCGCCCCACACGCAAGGCGCUGCCACAGGACGCAGUGGACGCUAUCCGUCCAGCUUUACGCGGCCCGUCUACUGCGGAGCGCGGUUCUCCACCGAACAUAUCCAUGCUGAACAACCGAGGCAAUAAUGCACCGCUGCUCGGCGCCCGCGGAAGCUUUCGACGAGACAGCGUAGGCGAGGACAGACACACAAACCUUGGCGCAGGGGAUACGUACUCUUCAAUCCGCCACCUUGGCAACAGUAAACCUUCACACAGCGCGAGCGACUCGCGAAACGACGGCAUUCUGAACGGCACGCCGCUUCUCCAGCGCCCGCGGGCUUCAGCGACGUUGGCCAGCGUCGGCCACUCGCCAUACAUCCGCGAAGCCGCUUCUGCGAGUGGCAACAGAGCCGAUCCGAGUUACCUGCCUUCUUUUAUCAACGACAGCAACGCCUCGAGAGGCGCUGCGUCGGCUGCUCCUGCGGCAACCUCAUCCGGCACAAUGUUCCGCUACGGGAAGGACUCUGCCGCGCCGCCCUCCUUAUCCACCCGCCGAAAGUCGUACACGUACACCGGCGGAGCGGUGGGCGGCGGGUGGGCAGCGUCGGCGCCGCCGUCCGUGCCAAGGUGGGAGUGGUCCCGCGCCUCAUCUUUUUCGUCCACGCCGCCGUACGGUCGCGUGUCUACCGCGGCGACAACGACGACGCCAGCCUCCCGUGGGUGGCGGCACUCGUCCGCACCGCCACCACCCGUCUCUCGUCGCGGGCCCUCGCCGUCGUCGCUACUGUGGGGGUGGGGAGACAGCAGCGGUGAGGAAACCCAUCGUGGCGCUGCCACAGCCUCCACAGAUGCCGCGACAGCAGCAUCGCCGUCACCGUAUGAGCCGCGCGGGCGGAGAGACAAGCAUGUGUGGGAGGAGGGCUCUGUACGAGACUCUUACGUGAACAGCGCCUAUGCGUCGCGUCCAGUGUCGUCAGUACUGUCGGCGUCCCAUUCUCCUCCCGCGGCCCCCGCCGCGCGCCGCGACUCCGCCUACGAAGAGGUGAGGGAGGAUCAGAGCUCGCAGUCGUGGCGCCAGCCGCUGCGACGCCCACCCCUGGCACCGUCGCCUCCAUGCGCCACCUCGACAACAACGCCGCCGACCGUUUCUGCUGACCGUGUCCUGCACCAUGUCGAGCCAGUUGAAUUCGUCAGCUGCCACAACGCCGACGAGCACGCAGCUAAUGUCCGCCGCAUCGCACACUACCUCAAGAACUACUACGCCAGGGAGGCGGGAGAAAUGGAGCGCGGUGUAGAGUCGUUGAGUGCCGAGGACGUGGCCGGGCUGGCGCAGUGCUUUUACAUCGACCUCUACCGUACGGUGCGGCAGGCGCGGCGGGAGGCAGGGAUGGAGACGUCGUCCUUCCUGGUCGAAGACCCGACGGAGAACGUCAUUGCGAGCGUCGCACCAGUGCCACCGCCGCCGCCGCAGCGGGAGCGACACGACAGUUACACACCGCCGCCGCAGCGCCCCACCACGUCCGACGCUCGAAAUCGGCUAGUGAACAGCAGCGCGACCUCAGACACGGAACCGACCUACCGCGCACCGAAUGCCCAGCUCGCCUUCAGCGGCGGCGGCACGCACCCAGUCCAGAUCAUCACGGCUCGGCUGCCAGCCUUUCGCAACGACGACAUCACCACCGCGGGCGACGGGACCUCCGCGCUGAGCCAUCUUAGGCCAUCAGUUGCGUCGUCUGUGUCACCUGCCGCUUCUAGCACGGCAUCUGCAUCGCGCGCUCACGAGGAAGCUCGCGCUCGUGUCAGCCCUGCGGGCCCGGCCGCCGUUGGUUCUAGUGCGCUGCCGUACGACUUGGACAACGAAAACGCCGAGGCCGUCUCCUCCUUGGCGCAGGCGGCCACGCCAUCGCCGCCAUAUCGACAUCUGCACCGCGCUGUCGACACCGCAGGAGCAGCGCCGCCGUGUGCAACGGUGCAGCACCACCAGUCGUCGUCUUUUCAACCGCAUAUGGUCUUUGGGGUAUCACAGCACCAUCCUUUUUCGGCGCCGAACGGAUUUGCUGCGGCACCGGCGGAGCCUUCGUCGUCGCCUCGGCUCAAUCACCGCCAAGGUGACACGAACAGUCGUGGACAACACAACCGCCAUGGGCGGCAAGAUGCAUCCCUGCACACUCGCGGGCGUCAUGUGCACAUGCGAGACGGGUACGUGGACAGCAGCAGCAGCAGCAGCUCGGGCGAAGGCGGUGACCACGGUAGCGAGACGGGCAGAUGCGACGGACGCAGAGACACUGGCGGCGGUGCAGGCCGAGCGAAGCUCGCGGCAUCUCAGCCAUCAAGCGGCAUUGUCAAGCGACCUCUCAAAGAUCUCAUGCCGCUCUUGCGCUCUCGCGGCACUCUCGCUGUCAAGUACAUUCACAACAGUCGCCGACCGCACCUACGCCUCUUCCAAAUUCUCGACUGCAUGGACACAUACUGUGGCAGCGAGGUCCUCAUGCCGCACUUCACGUGGGCGACGCCGGCGGACGCGCACCGACACGAUCGGCUGCCGCGCGCGAAGCGGUCGAAGCACGGGGCGCCGCUGCCGACGGGGCUCUCCCUUUCCCAGCAGGAGGUGCCGUACGAAACGGCGCUGAACCUCGUUCACCUGGAGGCCGUCUACGUUGGCGCUGGACACGGCAUCGCGGAGGCGCACAUGACGCUGUUCCGUCGUGCCAAGUGCGGUGCCAACAGUCGCGGCAGCGAUUCCCGUGUCGACGGCGGUGCAGUGGUGGUCGAUCACGGAGGCCGUCCGGUGGCAAACGACAUGUGCGCCGUCUUCGUCUUCGCAUCCCGACCGGUGGCGGUGUCCUUUUUACGCGAGGACGACCGGCAGGCGUGGGUGGGUGCCAUGAUGGGUGUGGUGGAGCGCAACCGCACCUUGACAGCGUGACAGGAAGGCCAGCAUGAAGAGCGGAAUGAGGAGUGCUGUGGAACAAGUCCCUGUGAGAUGGACGGCUCUGCCACACGGGGGAUGCGUGCGCGUGAGCCGUUACGGUGCGGCGUGUCCCUGCUUUUCCCGUAGAUGUGUACUGUGCUGCUUUGGUGGUGACUUCUACUCCUCUCUUUCCUUUUUAUGCAUGUGCAUGUGCGUGCUCGCAGAUUCGGUUCUUCCUCUGUGUUCCUGUUUUGCUCAUUUCUAGCGUUCUUCUGUUUUGUGUCUUCGCCGAGCAGAUAUGUGUGCGCACACACACUCAAGAGUAUACACGAAUUGCGUGCAGGUCCUUCCUGCUUGCCAUGCGUGGAUCGCUCCCUCUUUUUUUUUCGCUACCUGUAUUACCUGUUGUGCAUUGCUGGAUCUGAAAAAUCGAUGUGCUUGCUGUGUACGCCUCAGAUAUAC
rnacentral:misc_RNA from 1 species